rnacentral:rRNA from 1 species
ACGCGGUUUCUUCCGCAAGGCGAGAAAUUUAGUGGCGAACGGGUGAGUAACGCGUGGGUGACCUACCUUCGAAUGGGGGAUAACGUCCCGAAAGGGACGCUAAUACCGCAUAACAUCCCGUCCUUGGACGGAUGGAGAUCAAAGCCGGGGAUCGCAAGACCUGGCGUUUGAAGAGGGGCCCGCGUCUGAUUAGCUAGUUGGUGAGGUAACGGCCCACCAAGGCGACGAUCAGUAUCCGGCCUGAGAGGGCGGACGGACACACUGGGACUGAGACACGGCCCAGACUCCUACGGGAGGCAGCAGUGGGGAAUUGUUCGCAAUGGGCGCAAGCCUGACGACGCAACGCCGCGUGGAGGAUGAAGGUCUUCGGAUUGUAAACUCCUGUUGCCCGGGACGAAUGGCUCCAACCUAACACGUUGGAGUGUGACGGUACCGGGUGAGGAAGCCCCGGCUAACUCUGUGCCAGCAGCCGCGGUAAUACAGAGGGGGCGAGCGUUGUUCGGAAUUACUGGGCGUACAGGGCGCGUAGGCGGCCUGCUAUGUCGAACGUGAAAUCCCCGGGCUCAACCCGGGAACUGCGUCCGAAACUGGCAGGCUCGAAUCCGGGAGAGGGAUGUGGAAUUCCAGGUGUAGCGGUGAAAUGCGUAGAUAUCUU